UUGUUUUGCACUGAGAAUAUGUUUUUAUGAGAUAUGAAAUUGGCCACUGACUCUAAUUAUUUUCUAAAGUCUGAUAUAGAUGUUUAAAAAUCCCCUUGGUAUCAAGCCUGUGCAGGGACUCUGCUCCAACUGCAGAGACUAGAAAACUGCUAAUAAAUGCAGUGCUUUCUGCUACUUAGAACACCUAGCUCUUCAACCUUUGGCUUUCCACCAUCCCACAGCUGUAGGACCCCUUGAAUUCAGCAGUGUUCUCUACCAUUUACCUAUAUGCUACUGUUGGACAUCAAGAAGUCAUUUCUUUGUGAAGUUUCCAAGCGGGUUGCGUUCUUUUCUUCUGCCAGCAGUACCUCUUCGUGUACCACUUCACCCAGAGAUUUUGUUUACCUAUAAAGUCAAUGUGAUGAAGUACUUCGUGCCAAGCCAUGAUGAGUCCUUUGUUUUUUGGACAGCCCUGGCCUACCACCCCCACAGCCUUUCUUGAAGCAGAUUUCUGACAGCUGCUGCUGAAAUUGAUCUCCUGGGCUAGAGGAUGAGCAUCCAGAGCCCAAAGGAAAGAUCAGGGAAGCAGAAAGCUUUCCAUACCUCAUCACUUUGUAGGGGUCAAUUGAAGGCUGGAAGUGAGACAAAAAGGAACUGGGAAGAAAGCAGAAGAAGAGAAAGAGAGAAGGCAGAUAAACUUUUGUGCAGCCUCUUCUGACCCAGAGAUUAACUUGAGGUAUUUGAUCAUGAGACCCUAUUUAAGCUAAAAAAUUAUUACUAAAUCUUUUCUGAAGCCACCAGGCAAGCAUAUAUUUAAUGUAAUACAGAAUUCCAAUUCUUAAGUUAGUUUUAUUAUUUCAUUAAUUUUCCCUUUCGUUUCAAAGGCUUGCUGUCUUUCUGUUUACAUAAUGCUUAAAAUUUUGACAAACCCUUGUGGAUUUGCUCCAUAAAGACACACUCUUCUCCCCAUCAGGGAACACAGCUGUUUGGCUGCAACCUAGGAAGACUUCACUGUGGAUAAAUCUGCAAACUUCCCCCCACUGACUCAUGAAAGAUUCCACAGAAGCAUGUCAUCCAUAAUAAUCAGGGAUGGAGCCCGUCUCAGCUUUGCAUCUUUCUUACAGUCUGCAGAAGUUUGCUGAUCCCUCCGUGUGCCUGUGUGCCUGAAUGAGCAUGCAACAUCUGCCCUGCAGUCCUGUUAUCUGAGGGCCAGUUGUAUAUACCAGAGGCUCAGCCCACCAUUCCGAACACUCAGUUAUCAUGACAGGUCCCUUCUGUACUUGCAUGUUUCCAGCUGGGAGAUCACCACACAUUGCGUCCUGCUUAUCUAUUGUAGUAGAAAUGCUAAGUCACAGCCUGAACCAGUGACUGAGCACCUGGUGAGAAGGCAGGGCCAACCCAAGGAAGUUCAGCUGCAUGCAGUGUACCUGAGUGACCAGAUGAAGCCAAGAUCCACCCUUUCCUAGACCUCAUUUAAGGGUUGGCAAGGGGAGACAAGGGUUUCUUGCUGGAGAUUUCUGCGUGCUGGAGGCCUUUCAAAUCCACAUCACACGCACUGCCAGUCUCCAGCAGCUUGCAGGAGGUUAGUGAGAGCAGGAAAUGGAAGGAAGGAUGGAAGAAAUGAAGACUCGUUGUAUUAGGCUGCUGCAGGAGAUGAAAGGGCUAAGGAAAAAGAAAUUAUGAAAUGCUUAUCUACCUGAUAAAAGAGAUUGAAUCUGUGAAGAGUCUCUCUGUACUGCAGGUUCUUCAUAUUUAUACUGAAAACAUCUGAGGUGACAAACUGAGAACAUUUGUAACUACAGGCAGAUUUAACAAUGAAAUUAAACACUAAUGGGUGCACACUAACCAUGGGUGGCCUAUUGCCGUUCAGAGCCAUCCAGAGACCCACACGCCUGCAGUGAAUCUUUGCACUGCCUCUGGGCAUCAUCUGGGUAGAGAAGAUGAGAUGACAAAAUGGGGGCUCUGUUUGCUGGAAGCAAAAUUGUAACAGAGCAAAAAACUUGCUUCAUUUCACCUUCCUCCUUCCAUCAAAUGCAUUAAAAGACAUUUGAGGACUUUAUGGGGCUCCAAAUCAGAUCUUUUGGCGGAGAGACUGCUGCUUAUGAAAAGCUGUUCUGAUUGCUAAAUACCCUGUUAAAAUGCGAAACUCCUCCCAAACAAAAGAUUUAAUAAAAGAUCAUUUUUCUUUUACUGCAUUUUUUACAAUCACUGCAGUAUAUGGUAUCCUCAGUGGUUUUAUAGUCCCCUUGCCGUUGCCUUGAGUUUACUGGAUGUAGUAAUAUUUAUAGAGAGUACAGACAUCAUGCCCUGAACAGUCUUCCAGCCAGCACCAAGUAUGAUUCACAGGAUGUUUGGAGUUUUUUUUUGUCAUGAAAUUGGCCAGUAAAACAGAAGUUACUUUGUUUAUUAUUGACAAUUUUUCCCACUCUGAAACAUUCUGGUCAGCCUUCUUUGUUUCACUGAAAUUUCUGUGUAAAGGAUUUUUGCUUAUUGUUAUUACAUGCAUGUCUCCUGGCACUUUGAAAUAGUUUCU